rnacentral:lncRNA from 1 species
CUACCACAGGCAGGUUCGGCGGCCGAAACUACUUUCGGCGGCCGAACCUGAGUUCUUCCCAGAAGGGCAGAACUCAGCUUUCACAUGCACAACAGCCUCCAAACCUUCCAAAACAUGCAUUAACUAUUCUACAACAUGCAACCAAGUACAUAGGGGUCUCAAACUAUCCUAAACCCCAACAACAAUACAUUCAUUAUACAUAAACACACAUUUGCAUAAAGAGUAACAUAAACCCUCAACCUUAUGCAUUUGUUCUAAAACAACCCAAAUCCUCACAUACUCUCUCCCCAUCAUGCAUACUCACUCCCACAUGCAUAGACUAGUUUAAACUUCCAACAUAUCAUCACAUAAACACUCAUAAACAUACAUUUACAUAAAAACUCAUAUAAACCUUAACAUGCAUACCUACCCAUACUCAACCAUUAAAACCUCUUAAAACUUCGUUAAAAUAUAAAGGAAAGCAAAGAUCUACACUUACCUCUUGGAGAUCGAGGGUUGGUGUGAUCCCCUAACUUGGAGAUGGGAGGAAACUACUCCUUGGGUCUCCAAGCUCCCAAAACUUAGAUCUAAACUUGAAAACUCUUCAAAACAACCAUGAAACUCAUAAAAACAUGAAGGAAAUGAAUAAAAACAUGAAAACGGCCAAGGGAGGACAAAAACUCACCUGAGCUCGAGAAUGGGGAGAAAACUCGCCCAUUUCCGAUCUGAGGGCUCUUUAUAGGUGGCCUGGUCAACGACCUUCGGCAGCCUAACGUGCCCCCUAAACUCAUGCAUGUUCGACGGCCGAACUUGAGCUUCGGCGGCCGAACCUUGGUUAGUUCAAACAAAGCUUUCGGAGGCCAAAAGCGUUCCCGAAACCUUCCCAUGUUCGGCGGCCGAACUUCACUUUCGGCGGCCGAACCUGGCAAAUGCCUCCUUGGUCUUUUCUUUUCAAAACUCAAUUCUUUUUCCAUUUAAAACCAUAAAAUCAUGUGAAAACAUUUUUAGAAACACAUUUUACCCCUCUAGAAGACUCUAGCAUCAUCAAAAUUCCAGAUUCCAACGGAGAUUCCGCCGGAAGGUAGGGAUUCCAAUGCCGGAAUCUAGCCUGGUAUUACAUUCUUCCCCCCUUAAGAACAUUCGUCCCCGAAUGUUCACCAAACAAACACGCAUUCUUAAAACAUAGCAUCAAGCAUGCAUAAACAAGCAAGCAAAACCGAAAACCUCUCUCCAAAGAGAGACACAGGUACUGCUGGAGUAAGAACUCCCGGGUCUUCCAAACACACCUUAGCAACCAGUGGUGAUUCCCAAAACCUUUUCACCAUCGGGAUUUCCUUGUUCUUCAUCUUCUUGACUUGUGUGUCCAUGAUUCACACUAACUGCUCAACAUAGGUGAGAUCCCUUGAGAUCUCCACCUCUGAUUCUUUAAAAACCUCACUUGGAUCUGACACGAGCUUCCAUAACACAGGAACAUGGAAAUCCGAACGGACUUUCUCCAUAGAAAAUCACCCUUACCAAAAGAAACACCUUAGCAGUACCCGACCUUCUCCUGAACUCCACUGGCAUCCGUUGCGCUUCUCUGAUCCUUACUCUUAUCUUUCAUCUUUACCAACUGGCUUCUUCUCACUGCUAACCCAAAACGAACUCUAACUCUCACAGGUAGUACCCGAAUUUCAAAUCUAUCUUAGAAAACAAAUAGCUCCUACUAGCUGUCCCAAUAGAUCAUCCAUCCUGCAUGGAAAUACCUCCCCUUGGUAGUGACCUUGGUCAACUGUUUACAGUCGUUACAAAGUCUCAAGGAUCCAUCCUUCUUUUCCCAUAACCAUAUUGGAGCAAUCCAAGGUGAGGUAUUAGGUCGGAUAAAACCCCUUGUCUACCAAGUCUCACAACUGCUCUAGCAACUCCUACAAUUCUGCAGGUGCCAUCCUGUAGGGGAGAAUAGAAAUGGUUCUGGGUCCAGACACCACUCCUAUGCUCAACUCCACUUCCCUAACAGAUGGUGAACCUGACAACUCGCUGGGAAAACAUCUAAAACUCUCUAACCAAAGACACUGAGGUUGGUUCCCGGACCUGACUGCAAAACUCUUAAACAAGAGCUAGAACCCUCUGACAACCCCUCCUACGCACCCUACGAACCUGACAGGCUGACAUCAAACCUCUAGGCAUCCCUACUGUGUCCCCUCAGAAGACUACCUCUGACCCAUCCUGUCCUCUGAACCUGACUACCUUGUCUCUGCAGAGCAAGAUAGCACCACGAGCAGAAACCAAUCCAACCCUAAACUAAUGUCCAGACAGUCAAGUCUAGGACCUCAAAGUCGGGUGGAAAGCAUCUACCCUCAACUGACACUGAACUGAACCGGCAGACUGACUCUGCCACAGAUGGAUCACACUUGGGUUCACCGACCCAAAGAGAACACUCUAGCCCAGAAGCUAUCAACUCAACCUUUCGACGGCUCCUAGAGCAACUAAAGAAAGAGAAUACCAAGGUUCACAAAAACAUACACAUCAGAACAUUCAAAAGUGAGCGUACCUGACACCACUGUGUUCGAUGUGUCUGCCUCCUGCUGAGCUUGGGUGAAGAUCCGAGCUGCAGCUGACGGACCUUCUCCACGGGAACCUAAGGAAUGAGGGACUGACCCUCUCCCUCUGCCUCGCCCACUAACCUAAACCAUGGCUGGAGCUGCUGGCUAAGCCGCUCUACCUGAAGCUGUCUGCUAGGAUUGAGCCAUCCAGGGCGCAGUGGGACACUCUCGUGCUAUGUGCCCCUCCUGUCCGCACCUGAAACAUGCUGUAGUCCCCACCCGACAGACUCCUUUGUGCGGCCUUCCACACCUCGAACAUCUUGAACUGCCCGAGCCAGAGCUUGAGCCACCAAAACCUAGACUAGCCUUCAACCGAUUCCAAAACUUGCUCUUCUUUGACCUUCUCAGGCCUCUGUCCCCUUUCCUAGUGGUGUUUCCCCACCUUUUAUCUCUUGAGGCAGCUGUACUCAGAGUGGAGGGAUCAAUCCCUCCUAAACCUGAGAUUCUGGAAUCCUGAGUCUGAGCUUCCUCCUGAGAAUCUCCCAUACCUUCUUCUGGUACUCUGAUUCCCAAACUGACAUCCCUUCUCUAGAUCUCCAACUCUACUUCCCUCAUACUAGCUGACAUCCUUCUUGGAGCCAUUCCUUCUCUGCUUACAUCAAAAGACCUUCCAGGGUCCCUUAAUGUUCCCCAUCUACUGACUCCCCACGACUGCGCUCUUGGCAGAGCAGGGGGAAAGGUGUCCAAACCUUCCCUCUCAGAUGGAACUCCAGUCGAUUCCACAGAUCGACGAGCACCUCGCAUUCUGGCUCCUCUGAAGAACAACACACAAGCAUACAAACAAUCAUUAGCAUCAUACAGUUCAUAUGAAAACACAUGAACCUGCAACACAUACAUAGCGUACAUAGCAUAUCAUACAUAACAUUAAUGCACAUGCAUAAAAUCAUGGCAUUCCACAUCAUCAUCAUACAAGACAGGACUCUACAUCCUAUCCUAGUGGACAUGAUUUUUCCUACUGUGCUUGCCCUUCUAUGACCUCUAAACCAACCUCUUUCUGAUGUGGGAUAUCUCUAAUCCUUGAGCAUCUUUGCUCAACACACCGUACUGAUGAGGCCCAAAGCUCUGAUACCACUCUGUAACGAUCCGGAAAUCGAUACCCCUCUGUAACGGCCCGAACCGCUACCGGCGCUAGGAUCCAGAUCGGCUUAAGGCCGCCGGGACCCGUAGCAAGCCAGACAUACCUCCUAUCACCUGGUCAAAUCCCAUACAUGAUCAAAACUUUAACAUAAAAACUUAAACAUCUGAUGUAAAUACCGAGCUUGACCUGUAUGCAACAUAACUGGAAACAUGAAGAACCCCCCCUACUAGAGCCCUCAACAAAACUCUAGCUGGGUCAACAUAACAUACAUCAAGCUGGGGUCACAUCCAAAGAACUAGGACCUAACCUGUGCAUGCAUCAAACCACAAACAUAAAACCUCCACUAGAGUCCUCAACAAACUCUAGCAUGGUAAACAACACAUGCCACAAGUUUAGUUCCAACACAACUCAACAUUAAACCAAUACAUACAUCAUGUAUUAAAAAGAGACUAACCAAGCCUUAGGGCCAAGCACAGUACUAAUCCAUAAACAUAAUUCUAUUUUACGUUACAUUACAUUAUCUUACAAUUCAUUAUCUCAGUUUACAUUACAUGUCCACAGGUGGACUCGAAUGAGGUGCCAAACACACUAAACAACUCAUAAACAACUACCCAUAAACCCCCUAAAAUAUCACUUAAACAUACAUAGAAAACAACCAUGAAAGGGCUGGACAGGGCACUUUCGGUGGCACCUUCGGCUGCCGAAGGUCCCUUCCAGAGCUGAAAGCCAUGUAGGUUCGGCAGAAGGUUCGGCGGCCGAAGCCUCACUCCAGAUCCGAAAUUCAGGCACCUUUGGCAGCCGAAACUCCCUUCCAGAGCCGAAAGUCCAACUUUCGGGGGCAGGGUUCGGCAACCAAAAUAAGCUACCACAGGCAGGUUCGGCGGCCGAACCUCAGUUCUUCCCAGAAGGGCAGAACUCAGCUUUCACAUGCACAACAGCCUCCAAACCUUCCAAAACAUGCAUUAACUAUUCUACAACAUGCAACCAAGCACAUAGGGGUCUCAAACUAUCCUAAACCCCAACAACAAUACAUUCAUUAUACAUAAACACACAUUUGCAUAAAGGGUAACAUAAACCCUCAACCUUAUGCAUUUGUUCUAAAACAACCCAAAUCCUCACAUACUCUCUCCCCAUCAUGCAUACUCACUCCCACAUGCAUAGACUAGUUUAAACUUCCAACAUAUCAUCACAUAAACACUCAUAAACAUACAUUUACAUAAAAACUCACAUAAACCUUAACAUG